UUCAUUAAACAUGGACGACUGUGGCUGUCUGUUUUUGAUUUCGACAAAAUUGGAAUAGUGCAUGGUGCAAUAUCGUACUAUUAGACGAAGAAAGGAAAAAUGGUUCCCGUAGUGGUUGAGAUAGAGAAAACUCGGGAGGACCAUGCCGGAUUGCCUUACUGCCUUACGUGUCUCGCAUGCUGGGUUGGAUGUUGCUGUUUAUGGCCCUUAUCAUUAUUUUCUCUCAUCUUCGCAUGCCUUGCGGACCGUUUCAAGCGGCGUGGGGAUGACAGCUACAAAGUGUGUAGCUUGCUGUCCAUCGUUAUUAGUCUCGUCACCAUUGUCGUUGCAGGGCUGUCCUGGGUUUUUUUCUACAUCUACAUUUUCCCGUUGCUUUAUAGAUAUUAUUGGAGGUGGUGACCACUGAUAUAUAGAGUAACGGCCAUUCCUUAUUUAGACACCGGUCUUGUUAAACAUUAGAAAUAUUCGUAAAAUUUACACAAAAUCAUUUUUUUUUAAAAUUUGUCUGUGGUAUUUCCUAUAUCCAGUUAGUUUCAUAUGCAUGUACAUGUAUUUUAUUAAUAAUGUAAUCACAGAAUUCAUCAUACCUGUACCAUUAACGUUUAAAGGAGCUUAAUGGGAUGCUAAUGUCAAAUUUUCUAUUUUUAUAUGUUUGUUUGUUGAAAUCAUAGACUGUUCUUUUUUUUUUUUUACAUGUUUAAUAUGUUUUUAUCAAUUAAGUCAACUUUUUUAUAUACAGUAGCGAGAUUAAACAGUUCCUUUUAGGGGGUGAGGUGGGGGUUAAGCCUCUUUGUGAAUAUCAAAACUUUUUGGAUUAAACAUUAUACUGGUUCAGAUUUAUUUGUUGUGCCAUAGCUCCAUCAGCCUAUAAGGAAUAUUUUUUUUCAGGGAGAAGUAAGAGUUCAUGUAUAGUAUUUAGAGGCAUAACACUUUAUUGCACUGUUUGAUAUACUUUUUUGAAUGUUUCUGGAGAAGAGGCUGGAAAUUAAAAAAAAAAGAGAGAGGUUCAUGGGCUUGACGGUUACCUGAGUACCAUGAGGUUCUCAGGUUCUCAGGUUUUGAACACUGUGGCUCCACCUAUCUGACACUGUAACUCUAUAUAAUUUAUGUGACAAUUUUUUUUUUACUGUCUGUUGAGAAUUUUACAAUUAUUAGGCUCAUAAUUAUAGAGCUUGUUUCCUGGAAAUUGAGUAGUAUAGAAAAUAAUAAAUGUAAACGUUUACAAAAAUCUCAUCAUGGGACCUGUUACCUGGACCAUUGAGCCAUGAAUUUUAUAAUUUUUGUAAAGAACUACACACCGUAGCUGUUCAUUAUAAACAUGCAAAAGUUAUCUGUUUCAUGUCGAUAAGUAAUAAAAAAUAUUUCAAAA